rnacentral:rRNA from 1 species
UGGGGAAUAUUGCACAAUGGGCGCAAGCCUGAUGCAGCCAUGCCGCGUGUAUGAAGAAGGCCUUCGGGUUGUAAAGUACUUUCAGCGAGGAGGAAGGCGGUAAGGUUAAUAACCUUAUCGAUUGACGUUACUCGCAGAAGAAGCACCGGCUAACUCCGUGCCAGCAGCCGCGGUAAUACGGAGGGUGCAAGCGUUAAUCGGAAUUACUGGGCGUAAAGCGCACGCAGGCGGUCUGUCAAGUCGGAUGUGAAAUCCCCGGGCUCAACCUGGGAACUGCAUUCGAAACUGGCAGGCUAGAGUCUUGUAGAGGGGGGUAGAAUUCCAGGUGUAGCGGUGAAAUGCGUAGAGAUCUUGAGGAAUACCGGUGGCGAAGGCUGCCCCCUGGACAAAGACUGACGCUCAGGUGCGAAAGCGUGGGGAGCAAACA